GCCUGGGUGGCUCAGUCAGUUAAGCGUCCGACUUUGGCUCAGGUCAGAAUCUCACGUUUUGUGGGUUCGAGCCCCACGUCGGGCU
rnacentral:tRNA from 1 species